GAGUCAAUCAUUUGUGGAGAAGAGUUCCUUCAUUCUAAACUCCCACACUUUCUAUUGUUUAAAGCUCUCCCAGGCCAGGGAUAAGAGCUAUGAGGCAUAACCCUCAUCUCCAUUUCAUCUGCUUCACCCUAACUACAGGCCAGGGAUAAGAGCUAUGAGGCAUAACCCUCAUCUCCAUUUCAUCUGCUUCACCCUAACUCUCAAUGUUAG
rnacentral:lncRNA from 1 species